rnacentral:lncRNA from 1 species
CUAUCGAAAUGUGUUUUGUUGUUUGAGCCUUGGUAAGGCACCACAGCAUAGACUUUUGAUGUGCUCAGUGGUUCUCAACCUCUGGGCAGUGUCCACAGGGGUUGCAGAUCAGAUAUCUUUCCUAUCAGGUAUUUACGUUAAGAUUCAUGACAGUAGCAAAGUUACGGUUAUGAAGUAGCGAUGAAAAUAAUUGUAUGGUUGGGUUGGGUCACCACCACAUGAAUAACUGUAUUAAAGGGUUGCAGCAUUAGGAAGGUUGAGAGCUCCUGCUUAGAAGAUGAGUCUAGAAAGAAGCAUCAUAUAGAUAUCCACGUUUUAAGAAAAUUUCUAAUAAGUGUAAUCUAGUGUUUUUCAAACGUUUAUUAUCUGUAGUGCUUGUUAAAAUACUAG